AGUGGGAAUGGGAACUUGGAAAUGGGCGCAAGCCUGAUCCAGCCUGCCGCGUGAGUGAUGAAGGCCCUAGGGUCGUAAAGCUCUUUCGCCUGUGAAGAUAAUGACGGUAGCAGGUAAAGAAACCCCGGCUAACUCCGUGCCAGCAGCCGCGGUAAUACCCCC
rnacentral:rRNA from 1 species